ensembl:lncRNA
ACGUGUUUUGUAUUUUGCAUGUGUUUUGUAUUUUGCAUGUGUUUUGUGUUUUGUAUUUUGCAUGUGUUUUGUAUUUUGCAUGUGUUUUGUAUUUUGUACAUGUUUUGUAUUUUGCACGUGUUUUGGAGUUUGCAUGUGUUUUGGAGUUUGCAUGUGUUUUGGAGUUUGUGCGUGCUAUUUGGAAUUUGUAAGUGUUUUGGAGUUUGUACAUGCUUUGUCUCUAGGGGCCACCGUGCAUAUUGGAUAUGAGGAAGUUUUUUCAAAAACAGGAGCCACAUUCAGUCCAAAGAGGGAGAGAGGAAAGAGGGGAACAUGAGGAGAAAGUACAAGAUCAGGAAGCACCAGGUAAGAAAACAGACAGGGAAUACUAACAGGCAAAACAGAAACUGUUAAACUGGCAAAGAAACCCCCCCCCCCAACUAAUUUUACUCAUACAAUCUGGAAGUUGUGUUCUCCCUAUAUUAAAGCUGCUGUACAGAAUCUGCAAAACAAACUGGGUGGUCAGCCCUGGCACUGCUAUAUUGAGCUUCAGUCAGAGGAAGUCACGGUUGCCAAAAACUUUUUGAAGCUCAAGAGUGAGGCUGGUGCCAUUCCAGAUAUGUUAACACUGUAGAAUCUUCUGGAUAACCGGAUCUUCCCCACACUGAAAACUGUUAUUCAGGUUGCCCUAACAAACCCAGUUAGCAGCUGUAGCUGUGAAAGGUCUUUUAGUGUCUUGAGUCAGCUCCAUAACUGGCUGAGAAGGACCAUGGGUCAAAGCAGACUCCAGCACCUGGCUGUGAUGUCAGUUGAGAAAGAUGCUUGAGAGACUUGACCACCAAAAUGUGAUAGACAGAUUUGCCAACCUCAAGGUGAGGAGACAGGAUAAAAGAAAAGAAAAAAUCUCCAGAGCCAUAGUAGAAUCUGCAGUAAAGAUCUUUUCAUACAUUGUAUAUAUUGUACCAUAGGCCAAGGUGUCUCCAUUUUUCUAAUUUUUUAAUAAUAUUUUGUACAUUUCAAGUGUAUUUUUAUGUAUCUGUAUUAUAUUAUACAUACACAUUAAAAGUGAAUCUCUGUCCCAAAAAUGUGCUCAGUUUAUUUUUUACUCACUGUGAGCAUCAUUCAUUAUUCUCCCACAGUAAUUAAGGGUAGAAUAUGUAUUUUUUAAAAUUCUAAUUCAUUCUUCUUUAGCAGCAUUUAAAUAACCUUUAUCAGAUGGUUUUGUUACAAACUUUUCAAAAAAAGUGUUUUGCUUUUCUUUCACAAAUGUGGGGAUUAAAUUGUGUUAAAAUGUACAAAACAGUGAUGUCAUGUUUUGUGACGACGACCCAGGGACAGAGAGACUUGGUGAAUUUAAGAAUCUUAUGAUUUCAUAAAGAAAUUUGCAGACUUGCACAGAGAGGCUACAAUUAUGAUGACUGAUAAUGGAGACUAAGACAACAGAUGACGAGGACAGGGAGGAACAGGGGUUUAAAUGCACCAAGGAGACAG